GGUGCCACCUCAGGUGUGCCCAGGUGCCACCAGGUGUGCCCAGGUGCCACCAGGUGUGUCCAGGUACCACCAAACCUGUCCAGGUGCCACCAGGUGUGCCCAGGUGCCACCAAACCUGUCCAGGUGCCACCAGGUGUGUGCCCAAGUGCCACCUCAGGUGUGUCCAGGUGCCACCAAACCUGUCCAGGUGCCACCUCAGGUGUGCCCAAGUGCCACCUCAGGUGUGCCCAGGUGCCACCAGGUGUGCCCAGGUGCCACCAAACCUGUCCAGGUGCCACCAGCACACAGAAAUGACCGAUGUCACCUCAGUGCCACCUCCUGUCCCCUUCCUGUGCCGUGCCCAGGUGUGACCUCACCUGGUCCCAGGUGCCACCAACAGACAGAGAAAUGAACGAUGUCACCGUGGUGCCACCUCCUGUCCUGCUCCUGGUCCGUGAUGGUCCCCAGGUGUGCCCAGGUGUCACCUCAGGUGUGCCCAGGUGUCACCUCAGGUGUGUCACACCUGGUCCGUGGGCAGGGGGAGGUGACAGUGCCACCACAGGUGCCACCAACACACAGAGAAACAAACGGUGCCACCUCCUAUCCUGUCCUGGAACUGUCCCCAGGUGUGUCCAGGUGCCACCAGGUGUGCCCAGGUGUCACCCUGCUCUGGGGGAGGUGACAGUGCCACCACAGGUGCCACCAACACACACAGAAACAAACGGUGCCACCUCCUGAUCAGGUCCUCAGGUUCACCAGGUGUGCCCAGGUGUGUCCAGCUGUCCCCAGGUGUGUCCAGGUGCCACCAGGUGUGCCCAGGUGCCACCAGGUGCCACUGACACACUGGCACCAUCUCCUGUCCUGUCCUGGUGCUGUCCUCAGGUGCCACCAGGUGAGUUCCCAGCUGUUCCCAGGUGCCACCAGGUGUGUCCAGGUGUGCCCAGCUGUUCUCAGCUGUGCCCAGGUGUCCCCAGGUGUGUCCAGGUGCCACCAGGUGUGUCCAGCUCUCCCCACAUAUGUCUCCAGGUGCCACCAGGUGUGUCCAGGUGUGCCCAACUGUUCUCAGGUGUCUCCAGGUGCCACCAGGUGAGUUCCCAGCUGUCUCCAGCUGUCUCCAGCUGUGCCCAGGUGCCACCAGGUGAGUUCCCAGCUGUCUCCAGGUGAGUGCCCAGGUGUGACCCUGCCCUGGGGGACCUGACAGGUGCCACCACAGGUGUAACCAACACACAGAAAAGCAAACAGUGCCACCUCCUGAUUGGUUCCGGUGCUGUCCCCAGGUGUGCCCAGGUGUGUGCCCAG